rnacentral:rRNA from 1 species
GACGAACGCUGGCGGCGUGCUUAACACAUGCAAGUGGAGCGACGAACCAGGCUUCGGCCUGGGGCAGAGCCGCGAACGGGUGAGUAACACGUGGGUAACCUGCCUCGAUGACCGGGACAACCCGAGGAAACCCGGGCUAAUACCGGAUGUGCUCCUUCACAUCAGUGAAGACAGGAAAGGAGCUUCGGCCUCCGCAUCGAGAUGGGCCCGCGGCCCAUUAGCUUGUUGGUGAGGAACGGCUCACCAAGGCUGCGAUGGGUAGCUGGUCUGAGAGGACGAUCAGCCACACUGGGACUGAGACACGGCCCAGACUCCUACGGGAGGCAGCAGUGGGGAAUCUUGCGCAAUGCGCGAAAGCGUGACGCAGCAACGCCGCGUGGGGGAAGACGG